rnacentral:rRNA from 1 species
UUGUAGGCUGCAACUCGCCUACAUGAAGUCGGAGUUGCUAGUAAUCGCGGAUCAGAAUGCCGCGGUGAAUGCGUUCCCGGGUCUUGUACACACCGCCCGUCACACCAUGGAAGUUGGGGGCGCCCGAAGUUGCCUAAGAAAUAAGGUACCUAAGGCGAAACCAAUGACUGGGGUGAAGUCGUAACAAGGUACC